AUCAAUUGAUCUCAAUUCCCCCUCGUCAAGAAACGUGAGGGAGAGAAUUUCAAGUUUCCUCCUUCAUCUCCCUUACUCUAUCUCUUUCUCUCUCUCUUACGUUUCUAUCUCUUUCUCUCUCCAUCUUAUACGUCUCUAUAUCUAAAUCCAUAUACAACUACCAAAUUGAUAUGGUCAACAAUCUUGUGAUUUUACAAUAAAUGAUAUGGUUAACUCAUUUGUGAUAAGGAUUAAACGAAUAGUUUGUUGUUGAUAAGGUAGGUUUGGUGGAAAGU
rnacentral:lncRNA from 1 species